CCACCUCAUCUCUCCAGCUCCCGUGACCCCGUCGGUGCCCAACUCCCACCUUCUCCACCAUCUCACCCGACGCCCAACGCCACCUUCUACCCCGUCUCCGGCCGCCGCCCAACCCCACCUUCUCCACCAUCUCUGGCCGCCACCCCGCCCCCACCUUCUCCCCCGUCUCAGGCCACCGCCCAACCCCCACCUUCUCCACCAUCUCCGGCCUCCGCCCCACCCCCACCUUCUUCCCCGAAUCCGCCCGCCGCCCCGCCUCCACCAUCUUCGGGCCUCAGGAAGCCGCCUGUGCCCGGCCUCCGCCCACCCCACCCCCCGGAUGGCGCCCGCGGCCGGCCUCCUGGAUCUCGCCCAUGGUUGCAGGGGCCCGACGCGGCGGGGAAGUGUGGAGGCGCUAGUCGCUCCGCGACUGAGGAAGGCGCACCCCGGUGCUCGCCAUGGCUGAAGACGAACUCCAACGCCGGGCCCUUCUUGUUCGCAUGCGCGUCUCCUUCCUGCUUCACCUAGAUCUCUUAUUGGAAUUGGGGCUGCAACUAAAAGUAGCAAGAAAUGAUAUUAGUCAAUUAAUUUUAGAGACCUCUUAUUGGAAUUGGGCCUGCCCCAUGAUCCGGUGUCGCCCUCCGCAGCCUCAGCACGCAGGCCGUUCACCACCACCACCAGUGCCCAUUCAAUGCCGCCCCAACAACCCCAGUAGCUUCAAAAAAUGCAAAUGGUCAUGUUUCCACAAGACUGACGGAACAUUACCAAUUGAACUGAGAACUGGCGGAACUGUGAACGUUCGUUCUAUAAAAUUGCAUCAGUUCGCUAGCAAAAUCAAAUUCAGUUCAUCUGCCCUUUGUUAGCUUCAGAAAAUGCAAAUGUUUAUGUUUUUGCAGCACUGACGGAACACCGCCAAUCGAACUGAACACUGAGCAUGUUUCCACCCUCCCCACGCCCGCCACCGCUGCGACCACCCCUCCCCCUCACGAUUUCUCGUUGAUAUCGCUGUAUUCGUGCUUGUUAUGUGAGUUACCUGAUGGAAGUUCUGCAACUGUCAGUCCAGAUGGAAGAAGGAGAUCUGUCCAAAGUGUGAGUUUUGCGACGUCGACGUGCAAGUUCUACAAUUUAUCCAUCCAGAUGGGAGAAGGAGAUCAGUCCAACCGACGCGUCUGAAGCGACAUACGAGGUAUCAGAAUAAUUCUAGGUUUUUUUGUGUUCAUUGGAUUUCCGGAUUGUUAGCGCAAGUGAGUGUUCUGUUUUUGCCUGUUCAGUCCAAGUGGGAGAGCAAAAGUAAGCACUGUCUGCUUAGAAGUUGUGUUUGAAACCCAUUUUUAAUAGUGAAACAAGUAAAUCAGUGUGUUAAUGCUUUAUUGUUAUAGUUCUUAAGUGACUGAAAUUUUGACCAUGUGUUUAGAGUUAAGCAACUACAUAAGUUGCAUGCUGUAUUGAUCUACUUGUCAUGCGGAAGUUCAUUGGCUUCUUAAAAUUUCUGAUAUAAACAAGCUGGUGGCCGCCCAUCUCUGCAUGUAUUUUAUUUGGGAUAGCCAAAUCCUGGCGCGCCCAGCCGCUGCUCGUGAACCCCGCCUCCAUCAGCUCCACUUCACCGGAGUCGUCAGUCCACAGGAGUAGGGGUAGCAGAUCCCCAAUAGCGGCCAAAUCCCGGUGUGCCCAGUCUACAUGUAUUUUCUGUAUUUUCUACACAGACAACAGUCCAAGUAGAAUCGAGUGCAUGAUCCCCAUGCCUCCCCCCCGGGUGCCCAUCCACUGUUUGUCGAAAUGCCUACAAGAAUUAUAACUACUAUUUUUCCAUCUUUCUCUUCUUUUUUAAACUGAAGCUAAACUCCUAUACUACUAUCUCAUCUACUAAAAAUGAAGACACCGUCGCAAAUGUGUGGAAAAGAAUUGCAUUGUAUUUUGUGCUUGUGAAUUACUCAAAUGUUUAUUCGCUGCUGUUCAUAUUCGCAUGUGAAAAAAAGUUGAUGUAAAUUAUGUGGCUAGUGUAGUUCAGAAAAAAUGUGGAGAUGAAACAAAUCUAAAGUUCACUUUUCAGGAACUUUGCUUGCAACACCUAGACAGUUCAAAAUUUGGGGCACGUUCAGUACAAAAAGCUAUAAUUUGUGCAUGUCAUCUGUUUGUGGAAAAUGUCUGUGCAAGGACACAAACAGUGCUCAUAUAUAUAGUGUCAGUACUUGAAAAGAAGAACAAAAGUUCAAUCUCAAAACUUUAAUAAGUUUAGUACAUAAAGGUUCACAAAUCCUGCUUAGUAAGUACCUCAAUUGACCCUAAUUUUGAGAUACUAGGACACAUCAUGGUCUUUAGCUAUCACAUCUCAUUUUCGUUUGGGUUAGUUUGUUGUGCAGUACAGGCAAGCAUGGCCACCACCAAUGCACUGUGUGGUCAAGGGCGAUGGAAUCCAACUCAGACCAACACCUUGGCCGCCCUUCCGUUGCUUGGCAACGGGUGUGUACUUUAGAAAAUUCCUAGCAAUGGUAACAAGCUGUUCAAUGUGGGGCUCGUGCAACAUAUAAUGCAAGUAGACAGGUGCAGGAAGAAAGGUACUUUAUUUGAUUCAGUUCUCUCAUUGUGCUCGUGCAUUGCAAACGACCAAUAGUACGAAUUUUUUUCAAUGCUUUUAUUGGAAUUUUCAAUGUAUUGUUGCAUUUCUUUUGCACCUCCUCACUGAUAGAAGAACCUCGCUGCUACUUCAUGGUGCGAAAGGUUUGACAUGUAUGUCACUGCCUAGUAUCACAAAUAUCCUAGCUAAUAGUUCAUGAUUUUCUCACUUUUUCCUAUGUGUCUCAGUGUGUUCCCCCUUCCCCUUUUCAUAUAGCGUAUUCUGAACACCAAAUGCUUUCAGAAAAAUGUGUCACGCAAGUUCAAGUAUAACUGUUGCAGGAGUUCAAAAAUCUAAACAAUUUAAGCUCAACCCAUUUUCAAGAACUAUUUCCUUCAUAAAUUGUUUUUUUGUUAGUUUGUUGUUAUGAACAGUAGAGAUGCGCAUUGUUGUGUAGUACAUGUGUCCAUUGAUGUGUAUGAAUCCCUUCAGUUCACUUUGAUUCCUACAGGUGGUUCAACGUGUCGAGCGGCAGCAGCCUUUCCUCCCCAAUGGUUGCCCACGCAAGGAGGAUACAUGGACGCUACAGUGGUGGAGUCAGUAGCAUGUACUAGCUAGCUGAAGAAAAUGUAUUGUCAUGUAGCUUUGGUCUUUACCAUUGUGGUUUGCUGAUAUUUUUUCCUUGUGUUAUUACAUGGGAAAAUGAAAAAGAAAGGGGCUUUCUUUUUGCAAAUCAAUGAAGGAAAAGACUUAACCACGGGCUGGAUUCGGUGCUUGCGGCGCCCACACCACCAUCUUCGGCUCUCUGCCUACUGCAUACGGUGUCGGUCCAGGUACACACUGCUCGAAUCGCUCCUCAUUGGCUCCCAGCGGUGAAGAUCUCCAUGCCUCCCGUUUGAAUUUUCAGUUAAUUUUUUUAUUGAACUUGUACUACUAUUGAUUCAGACCUGAGGGAAGAAGGCAGAACAUCUCUCUUGUUGGCAGUAAUUUUGCUCUCUCAUCUCCAUCUUCCUUUGUCAAUCAAAAAAAUUAGCGGCUAGCGCAUAAAUUGUGUAUUUGUUAGAUUGCUUUGCGUGCAAAGUGUAGAGAUUCUAAAAUUAAAAAAGGAAACGUACAACGAUACAAAGAUUCUGUUGUUCUCUGGUUAGUAGUUCACCUUUGCUAAGUAUAGCAAAUUCUCUGGUUAUUUCUUGCAUAGCAUGUCUAAAAUGCAGAAGUAGUGCCAAAAAAUGUCAUUGUGUUAUGCAUAUAAAAGCUUCAUAAAAAAUGCACAAGCUGUUGUGUUUUUUGGUAACUCACGGCUGUGUGUGGCUCUUGUAUGUCUUCGGAAUACUUAGGCAUACUGUUGUUUGGUACAUAUCUUCAGUACAAGUUUGGAAGGCCAGGAAGUUCUACCGCCGGCAUACACCAAGUUCAGAGACGUUGCACGGAGUGAGCCGCCACCGCCGUAAAAAAUGGUUUAUUAGCGUACUGUUUUUUGGUACUUAUGCAUAUGGUUGUAGAAGUGAAAUUUGUUGGGUGCAUGUGCAGAAAAAUCGUCAGUUCAGUUUUCAAAAAUUCUGGAAGUUUGUUUUGAUUCUAUAAAAUUCUGGAAGUUUCUCGUGUGUGCUGCUACAAAUCUAAAGUUCUUCUCGAGUCAUUCUAGUACUGAUGUCUCUUUUAGUCUGUAGCGGAGGGAAUAAUUUUAUGCUCAUUCUUUCAUAGUAUGAAGCUCAUUUAUAGUUUCUUUUCUCAUUCUUUUAGUUAAGAAAAUGUUUAUUGACCUUGAAGCAUAAACCUCUCGGCAAUGUAACAUUCUGCUGAUAUUUUAAUAAUCGGUAAGCUGUUGUGGUGGGACACGGUCAUCAUCUUGAGGAGGUUAGUGAGGUCAGUGAUACCAUGCAUGCUGAAACAAUGGCCUUACACCAGGCUGUAUCUAUAACUUGGGCUCUGGGAUGCAGGCUGGUGCUGCUCUGGGUAGUAAUACAUGUACUAAGUGAUACACAAGUUUGAUUUUCACAGAAAUUGAACUCCAGGAUAUGAAGUUUGAUGGAUGUGGAGGUUCUUUUGACCUUGAACCCUAUAGGAGUUCAACUUUUGAUUAAGUUUCAGUUCAUCUUUAGCUUAGUUCAUCAACUUUAAUUUUCAGAAAUAUCGAGGAUGUACUAUAUUACUUUUAAAGGGGAGUUCAUGUUUGGCUGGAUUCGGCAGUUCAUUUCCUAUUUCUUUAUAAGGUUUGGUGGUACAAUUUUUAAAACUGUAGCUGUUCGGCAAAAAGGUUCACUACCCCAAGUAGGGGAUUCUCAAUCAGUAAUGAGGCUGUUGUGGAGAAGCAAAUAUUCAGUGUUCAUGAUGUCCAAAUUCCAGUGAUAUGCCAUUAUAUAUUACUCCCUCCGUCCAAUAAUGUAAGACUUUUUUUGACGCUACACUACAGUCAAAAAAUGUCUUACAUUAUGGGACAGAGGGAGUACUAUCAUUGAUCAAGUCAUUUGCUGCAUUUUUUCCAUGUCUUAGUGUACAAGAGCUGUUAGUCAGUAGACUAUAAGUUGUAGUCUGUAACGGCUGGCUGUUCUACACAGUGCACACACACGACCUAGGUGCAACCUAUUUAAUUGAUUGAUGUUUUCAUUUUUUUGAACAGGAAGAUGGGCCAAAAAAAGGAGCAUGAUCGGCUGCUCCUAUAGCGUGUAGCUAGACUAGUAGCUCUGCCAAUGUUACAUUUGGUACAGGCAGUACAUGUAUUCAUGUGGGUGCUUGAAAAGUUCUGUACAAGAAUAGGCCGAUGAUUUUUGUGCUAUGGAUAAUAUGAUUUAUGUACAUGUAUUAUAUGUGUGGAAA